rnacentral:rRNA from 1 species
UACGUAGGGUGCAAGCGUUAAUCGGAAUUACUGGGCGUAAAGCGUGCGCAGGCGGCUUUGCAAGACAGAUGUGAAAUCCCCGGGCUUAACCUGGGAACUGCAUUUGUGACUGCAUGGCUGGAGUGCGGCAGAGGGGGAUGGAAUUCCGCGUGUAGCAGUGAAAUGCGUAGAUAUGCGGAGGAACACCGAUGGCGAAGGCAGCCCCCUGGGUUAACACUGACGCUCAGGCACGAAAGCGUGGGGAGCAAACAGG